AGAGUUUGAUCAUGGCUCAGGAUGAACGCUAGCUACAGGCUUAACACAUGCAAGUCGGAGGGGCAGCAUGAACUUAGCUUGCUAAGUUUGAUGGCGACCGGCGCACGGGUGAGUAACACGUAUCCAACCUGCCGAUGACCCGGGGAUAGCCUUUACGAAAGAAAGAUUAAUACCCGAUGGCAUAGUUCUUCCGCAUGGUGGAACUAUUAAAGAAUUUCGGUCAUCGAUGGGGAUGCGUUCCAUUUA
rnacentral:rRNA from 1 species